GACGAACGCUGGCGGCGUGCUUAACACAUGCAAGUCGAACGGAAAGGCCUUGCUUUUGUGGGGUGCUCGAGUGGCGAACGGGUGAGUAACACGUGAGUAACCUGCCCUUGACUUUGGGAUAACUUCAGGAAACUGGGGCUAAUACCGGAUAGGAGCUCCUGCUGCAUGGUGGGGGUUGGAAAGUUUCGGCGGUUGGGGAUGGACUCGCGGCUUAUCAGCUUGUUGGUGGGGUAGUGGCUUACCAAGGCUUUGACGGGUAGCCGGCCUGAGAGGGUGACCGGCCACAUUGGGACUGAGAUACGGCCCAGACUCCUACGGGAGGCAGCAGUGGGGAAUAUUGCACAAUGGGCGGAAGCCUGAUGCAGCAACGCCGCGUGCGGGAUGACGGCCUUCGGGUUGUAAACCGCUUUCGCCUGUGACGAGGCGUGAGUGACGGUAAUGGGUAAAGAAGCACCGGCUAACUACGUG
rnacentral:rRNA from 1 species